UAAAGAGUGUGCGUGUGGAAUGGAAGAAAAGCGAAACAAUAAAAACAAAUUCUUAAACUGGAGUGCCGAAAUUUUAAUCGUUUUAAUGUUGUGCUGAAUAUUCUUCUGAUUGAUAGAGAAUACUUAAUAAACAUAAGCCGAAAUGAAAGCGAUGACAUAUCCUGGUCUGUCGUGAACGCUGAGGUCAAAACUAGUUUUUUCCUAAUGGAUAUCUGCUGCAGGCAAUGGGCAGUGAAAGAGACAAUCCAUCAUGAUUUCCUCCACGUAACUUCGAGUGCAGUUUCAGCAGAAGGCGAAGCAGUAGACUGUUUUAUUCGAGAAUUUGCUGCCUGUUGGCUUCAAGGAAGAUCAUAUAGCCAAUGGCAUUUGAA